UACGUAGGGGGCAAGCGUUGUCCGGAUUUAUUGGGCGUAAAGAGCGUGUAGGCGGCCAGGUAGGUCUGCUGUGAAAACUCGAGGCUCAACCUCGAGCUGUCGGCGGAAACCCUCUGGCUAGAGUCCGGAAGAGGAGAGUGGAAUUCCUGGUGUAGCGGUGAAAUGCGCAGAUAUCGGGAAGAACACCCGUGGCGAAGGCGGUUCUCUGGGACGGUACUGACGCUGAGACGCGAAAGCGUGGGGAGCAAACAGG
rnacentral:rRNA from 1 species